UACAGAGGGUGCAAGCGUUAAUCGGAUUUACUGGGCGUAAAGCGCGCGUAGGCGGCUAAUUAAGUCAAAUGUGAAAUCCCCGAGCUUAACUUGGGAAUUGCAUUCGAUACUGGUUAGCUAGAGUGUGGGAGAGGAUGGUAGAAUUCCAGGUGUAGCGGUGAAACGCGUAGAGAUCUGGAGGAAUACCGAUGGCGAAGGCAGCCAUCUGGCCUAACACUGACGCUGAGGUGCGAAAGCAUGGGGAGCAAACAGG
rnacentral:rRNA from 1 species